UUACCGCUCAAAAUCAAGUUCUUAUAAGAAUUUUAUUUUUCUGUGAAGGAAAAAAAAAAACAAAAACAAAACCAACAAACUAACUGUUAACAGCAAACCUUUAUAUAGGUAUAUACUAUACAUUAAUGUUCACGAAAGAAAAAAGAAAGAAAUUCCAAUUAGAAUUGCGCAGACCUCCACUACGGUGACUAAUGUAAAGCAGCCCAUUCUCUAAUAGUAAUUGAAAAAUAAUAAGUAUGUAUAAAGCGGUAUGAAAAAUCAAAAUCGUAGAAAAGAAAUAGCAAAAAAAAAGGCAAAAAAGCAACAAAUUUGACAGAAGCGGAGUUGUAAUGAGUCUGUAAGCAUUUGGCUCGUAAUGGAUACAUGCAAUUGAACAGUUCAAUAAAAUAACAAAAAAAAAAUAAUGAAUAUAAAAAAUGAAGAAUAUAAAUAUAUCUAUUUGUAUAUUUUCUAUUGUGAAAUAAAGCUCACAAACGAUUUUAUGUGUAUGUAUGUAUGUACUUUUGUAUAAAUUUCAUAUUUGAAGUCUUCCUCCUGCAUUCACACACACAAGUCAAGUAACUAAGCACAUGCAACAUCAAUGAAUACAUACAUACACACUUACCAACUAACUAAAAAUAUAUAAAUGAAUAAUUAUGUAAAGUAUAUACAUAAGUCACUUAAAUGAACCACAUGUUGCACCGUUGUUUCAUCUCACGCGAAGUUCUCACACUACACAAAUCUUUGAAAUCACAGACCGGCACAAGGCAAAAGAAUUCUGCAGAAACUCUCAAGUUUGCUGUUCACCAAUAAAUAAAUGAAAAUAAUUUAAGCAAAAACAAAAUCACAUACACAAUGAGGAUAUUUGUACUAUUAACAUAACUUAUGCGCAUACACACACAUAUGUGCAUGCAUGCAUUUGGGUGUGUGUAUGUACAUACGAGAGUGCACGGGAGACAAAAGAGUACCGAAAUAAUGUAAAAGACAAGUGAACCAAGUGAAGCAGAAUUCUAAUUAACAAUGUUUAUAUUAUGUGCAUACAAAAUAAAUAAUAAUAAAUAAAGAGAAUUUGUUGUAAAAACAGUUACACGUUGGUAUUAAUAGUGAAGUUAUUCCUCUAAUGGGCUAGAAACGUAUGAAAAACGAACGAAAAACGGAAUGAUCAAAAUGUAUGUGUGUAACGCUAAAUUAAAAUAAGAAAAUACUAAAUAAAAUUGAAAAUUAUUAUUAUUUAGAAUUAAAGCUGUCUUUUCUUAACAAGUCUUUUCGAAACAACACAGCCAAGGUAUAUAUUUUUCGAUGGACAGGACUAUGCAAAGGUCGAGCGGGCAACAAAGGCGUUGGACACGAACUUAUAUACCUUAAGUAAUCAGCUGCUGAAGUUACCAGCUGUGUAUGAUCUACUGAAAUCGACUGGUUCCAAACAUAAAUUUACUACAACUGGAGUCCCGUGUUUCACCAAGGAACUUUGAAAACAUAUAGCUUUAUGUACAUAUAUAAAUACAACUGCCAACCUUGUAGUACACCUGAUGAUCGAUGGGACUUCCAGCAACAAAUUACUAGACUAUCCAAAGUAUUCUAGCUUUCUCACAGAGAUUUGGUAAAACCGAGAGUGAUAGAACGAGUGCGGUUACUUUUAUACAGUCUCACGGAGGAAUGGGAUUACUGUAGUGGACAAACCAUUGUGGCAAAAAUAUGCACUUCUGUAAUGGAGCCCUCCUGAACCAUUACGGCUAUGAAAUUUAAUGCUCUUAAUGUUUUUGACCCGGUGACCACACUCUUAGUAGGUUUCCACAUAACCACUAAAUAGGGGUGGACAUAGUUAUCAUUCGAUGAAUGGAUGAACCAUUCCACAAUUUGGAGAAGAGCAAGAAGAACUUGUCCUCAGUAAGUAUGAUCUACAUAUAACAUUUAAAAAGGUUUAAACUUCAAAAGACCAUCCACAUUUCAAUGUCUUGUACCGAGUUUUUGUAGCCAGGAUUAAAGCUCGUUAUGUUUCUCGUUUAACGAAAUUAUUUUGAGCUUGUCAACAUGCCGAUUCAACUUAUCCGUAAAUUCCACAGAGUGCCAAAGCAUACGUAUCAAGUUUUCUCAAUGUAUCUUCAGUUAUCGCUUGCACGGACAGACUGACGGACAAUUAAUCAUCCAGAAUUCGACAUGUCUCGUAAUCCUGAUCAUUUAUAAAACAAAGAACCCUUACGUAUAUACAUAGAUAAUUGAAUAAUUACCAGGAAAUCGAAAGGUAUGUUUUCUAAGCAACAAUUACACAUGUUAUUGAAGAAUUAUUCAACACCGAAAGAACCACUGAUUGAAAACCUAACAAUUCUUUUACUUCUAGGCAUGCUAUAUUGGAGGAUGGAAUCACUUUUUUGCCAUUUUAUGCUCAUCGGAUACAACAGAAGUUGCCAAAACACUAAAAAUCUUCAAGCAUCAAGUAUGUGAAAGAGCAGGUCGAGACAAGGUGGUAGUGCCGUCAUUGCGGAAGAGCUGUCGAAGUUGAUGAACUUCAAGCUAAAUCAUAAAGCAAUUAAGGAAAUAUUCAUUUCAUCCCAGACGAGGAACUCGAAUAAAAAAAAUUAUUAUUGGGUUUUACUUUAA